UACAGAGGGUGCAAGCGUUAAUCGGAAUUAUUGGGCGUAAAGCGUGCGUAGGUGGAAUAGCAAGUCAGACGUGAAAGCCCCGGGCUCAACCUGGGAAUGGCGUAUGAUACUGUUAAUCAGAGUAUGGUAGAGGAUAGCGGAAUUUCUGGUGUAGCGGUGAAAUGCGUAGAUAUCAGAAGGAACAUCAGUUGCGAAGGCGGCUAUCUGGGUCAAUACUGACACUGAGGACGAAAGCGUGGGU
rnacentral:rRNA from 1 species